rnacentral:rRNA from 1 species
AUUGAACGCUGGCGGAAUGCUUUACACAUGCAAGUCGAGCGGCAGCGCGGGGGCAACCCUGGCGGCGAGCGGCGAACGGGUGAGUAAUACAUCGGAACGUGUCCUUAAGUGGGGGAUAGCUCGGCGAAAGCCGGAUUAAUACCGCAUAAGCUCUGAGGAGGAAAGCGGGGGCUCCGUAAGGACCUCGCGCUGUUGGAGCGGCCGAUGUCGGAUUAGCUAGUUGGUGGGGUAAAGCCCACCAAGGCGACGAUCCGUAGCUGGUCUGAGAGGAUGAUCAGCCACACUGGAACUGAGACACGGUCCAGACUCCUACGGGAGGCAGCAGUGGGGAAUUUUGGACAAUGGGGGCAA